rnacentral:rRNA from 1 species
UACGGGGGGAGCAAGCGUUGUUCGGAUUUACUGGGCGUAAAGGGCGCGUAGGCGGUCAGCACAAGUCAAUUGUGAAAUCUCCGAGCUUAACUCGGAAAGGUCAACUGAAACUGUGCGACUAGAGUGCGGAAGGGGCAACUGGAAUUCUUGGUGUAGCGGUGAAAUGCGUAGAUAUCGAGAGGAACACCUGCGGCGAAGGCGGGUUGCUGGGCUGACACUGACGCUGAGGCGCGAAAGCUAGGGGAGCGAACGGG